rnacentral:rRNA from 1 species
UAUACAGCGAAACUGCGAAUGGCUCAUUAUAUAAGUUAUCGUUUAUUUGAUAGUGCCUUACUACUUGGAUAACCGUGGUAAUUCUAGAGCUAAUACAUGCUAAAAACCCCGCCUUCGGAAGGGGUGUAUUUAUUAGAUACAAAACCAAUGCCCUUCGGGGCUCUUUGGUGAUUCAUGAUAACUAUACGAAUCGCACGGCCUUGCGCCGGCGAUGGUUCAUUCAAAUUUCUUCCCUAUCAACUUUCGAUGUUUGGGUAUUGACCAAACAUGGUUGCAACGGGUAACGGAGGGUUAGGGCUCGACCCCGGAGAAGGAGCCUGAGAAACGGCUACUACAUCCAAGGAAGGCAGCAGGCGCGCAAAUUACCCAAUCCCGACUCGGGGAGGUAGUGACAAUAAAUACUGAUACAGGGCCCUUUCGGGCCUUGUAAUUGGAAUGAGUACAAUUUAAAUCCCUUAACGAGGAACAAUUGGAGGGCAAGUCUGGUGCCAGCAGCCGCGGUAAUUCCAGCUCCAAUAGCGUAUAU